GACAAACACAGCACCACACAGGAAGUCACUCCACAAAACAGGAAGUAGAAUUUGCACUGUUUCACUGUCUGUUGGUAGACCGUAGGACAACGGUUUACAUAGCAACACCUGUUAUAACAACACCUGUGAUAAUAACAGUGUUUUAACUGCUGUUACACUUCAUUAGGGUUUAGCGGGUACCAGUUUUUCCAUGUGAAACUUGGUUUAACAUUCAGAGGGACAAACUAAAGGCUGUGAUCUAACGGACGUGGUGGGGUUCAGAGCACAGAGGGUGAAAGGAUGUGUGUUGGUGCACGCUACUAUUCUAGAAUGUGUUCCAAUGCACGUGAAAAUUCUAGAAUGUGUCAGCAGUCAUGUGAGUUGAUACGUUCUAGAAUGAGCUAGGAGGACCAGCUAGGAGGACCAGCUAGGAGGACCAGCUAGGAGGACCAGCUAGGACGACCAGCUAGGAGGACCAGCUAGGUGGACCAGCUAGGAAGACCAGCUAGGAGGACCAGCUAGGAGGACCAGCUGGGAGGACCAGCUAGGUGGACCAGCUAGGAAGACCAGCUGGGAGGACCAGCUAGGUGGACCAGCUAGGACGACCAGCUAGGAGGACCAGCUAGGAGGACCAGCUAGGAGGACCAGCUAGGAAGACCAGCUAGGAGGACCAGCUAGGAGGACCAGCUAGGAAGACCAGCUGGGAGGACCAGCUAGGAAGACCAGCUGGGAGGACCAGCUAGGUGGACCAGCUGGGAGGACCAGCUAGGAAGACCAGCUAGGAGGACCAGCUAGGAGGACCAGCUAGGAGGACCAGCUGGGAGGACCAGCUAGGACGACCAGCUAGGACGACCAGCUGGGAGGACCAGCUAGGACGACCAGCUAGGACGACCAGCUAGGACAACCAGCUUGGAAGACCAGCUAGGAGGACCAGCUAGGAGGACCAGCUAGGAGGACCAGCUAGGAAGACCAGCUGGGAGGACCAGCUAGAUGGACCAGCUAGGAAGACCAGCUGGGAGGACCAGCUAGAUGGACCAGCUAGGAAGACCAGCUGGGAGGACCAGCUAGGAGGACCAGCUAGGAAGACCAGCUGGGAGGACCAGCUAGGAAGACCAGCUGGGAGGACCAGCUAGGACGACCAGCUAGGAGGACCAGCUAGGAAGACCAGCUGGGAGGACCAGCUAGGUGGACCAGCUCUACAGAACGCUGCUUUGUUCUCACUUCCAUUAAGCCUUUCUAGUUCACAGUUCAAGCUAUUUACAUUAAAUUUGUCAUCUGCUUGUCAGGAAAUCUACCUGUUCAGUUAGUAAGUGUUAAUUUUGUAGCUCACUGCAGAUUAAGGUAGGAAUGGGACAAGGCCAAGGACAUAGGAUCUAUGUGUUGGAAUGGGACAAAGCCUAUAGUGAAGGUCCCAGGUGUUGGAACAAGACACGGCCUUUAGUGAAGGUCCCAGGUGUUGGAAUGGGACAUGGCCUAUAGUGAAGGUCCCAGGUGUUGGAAUGGGACAUGGCCUAUAGUGAAGGUCCCAGGUGUUGGAAUGGGACAUGGCCUAUAGUGAAGGUCCCAGGUGUUGGAAUGGGACAUGGCCUAUAGUGAAGGUCCCAGGUGUUGGAAUGGGACAUGGCCUAUAGUGAAGGUCCCAGGUGUUGGAAUGGGACAUGGCCUAUAGUGAAGGUCCCAGGUGUUGGAAUGGGACACAGCCUAUAGUGGAGGUUCUAGGGUGUAGGUCCCAGGUGUUGGAAUGGGACAAGGCCUAGGUCUACCUCCUCCAGGUCUGCAGGUCCCACGGCUCCACAGUAGGGAACUCACCAGUACAUAGUAGCAAGCAAACAGCGCCGCCAAGUGGUGAAUUAUGAAAUAGGCGUCUCCUAUGGCCCUCCAAUAGAAACAGAGCAGCA